AACGAACGCUGGCGGCGUGCCUAAUACAUGCAAGUCGAGCGAAUGGAUUAAGAGCUUGCUCUUAUGAAGUUAGCGGCGGACGGGUGAGUAACACGUGGGUAACCUGCCCAUAAGACUGGGAUAACUCCGGGAAACCGGGGCUAAUACCGGAUAACAUUUUGAACCGCAUGGUUCGAAAUUGAAAGGCGGCUUCGGCUGUCACUUAUGGAUGGACCCGCGUCGCAUUAGCUAGUUGGUGAGGUAACGGCUCAUCACGGCAACGAUGCGUAGCCGACCUGAGAGGGUGAUCGGCCACACUGGGACUGAGACACGGCCCAGACUCCUACGGGAGGCAGCAGUAGGGAAUCUUCCGCAAUGGACGAAAGUCUGACGGAGCAACGCCGCGUGAGUGAGGAAGGCUUUCGGGUCGUAAAACUCUGUUGUUAGGGAAGAACAAGUGCUAGUUGAAUAAGCUGGCACCUUGACGGUACCUAACCAGAAAGCCACGGCUAACUACGUGCCAGCCGCCGCAGUAA
rnacentral:rRNA from 1 species